UUCUAUUAAACUUAUAAUCGAACACCUGGGGCUCACACAAAGAUCGAAACUUCUCUCCGGUUUCUACUUUCUGCUGAAAUGCUAGUGCAACGAUAUGGAAGGUAUAUAUUACACUAAAAGAUAAGGGAGGUAUGAAGGAGAAGGCAGAUAAUAGUGUGGUGACUGUUUUCUCAAGGUAUUGUGGCUGUAGUUUGGAGAAAUGGGUACUGAACGAAGCUAGUGGACCUGCUGGUUUCUUCGGAGUUAAUUUCUGAGAAGGUUAAGG